AUACGUAGGGGGCGAGCGUUGUCCGGAAUGAUUGGGCGUAAAGGGCGCGUAGGCGGCGCGGUAAGUCUGGAGUGAAAGUCCUGCUUUCAAGGUGGGAAUUGCUUUGGAUACUGCCGCGCUUGAGUGCAGGAGAGGUUAUCGGAAUUCCCGGUGUAGCGGUGAAAUGCGUAGAGAUUGGGAGGAACACCAGUGGCGAAGGCGGGUAACUGGACUGCAACUGACGCUGAGGCGCGAAAGUGUGGGGAGCAAACAGGAUUAGAUACCCUGGUAGUCCACACUGUAAACGAUGAAUGCUAGGUGUAGGGGGUAUCGACCCCUUCUGUGCCGCAGUCAACACAAUAAGCAUUCCGCCUGGGGAGUACGGCCGCAAGGUUGAAACUCAAAGGAAUUGACGGGG
rnacentral:rRNA from 1 species